UACGUAGGGUGCGAGCGUUAUUCGGAAUUACUGGGCGUAAAGCGUGCGCAGGCGGUGAUGUAAGACAGGUGUGAAAUCCCCGGGCUUAACCUGGGAACUGCAUUUGUGACUGCAUCGCUGGAGUGCGGCAGAGGGGGAUGGAAUUCCGCGUGUAGCAGUGAAAUGCGUAGAUAUGCGGAGGAACACCGAUGGCGAAGGCAGCCCCCUGGGCCGACACUGACGCUCAUGCACGAAAGCGUGGGGAGCAAACGGG
rnacentral:rRNA from 1 species